GGCUGGUCCGAUGGUAGUGGGUUAUCAGAACUUAUUAACAUUAGUGUCACUAAAGUUGGUAUACAAACCCCCCCACUGCUGAAUUUGACUGGCUUUUU
ensembl:misc_RNA Y_RNA Y RNA